AACGAACGCUGGCGGCAUGCCUAACACAUGCAAGUCGAACGAGACCUUCGGGUCUAGUGGCGCACGGGUGCGUAACGCGUGGGAAUCUACCCAAAGGUACGGAAUAACUCUCCGAAAGGAGUGCUAAUACCGUAUGAUGUCGCAAGACCAAAGAUUUAUCGCCUUUGGAUGAGCCCGCGUAGGAUUAGCUUGUUGGUGAGGUAAAGGCUCACCAAGGCGACGAUCCUUAGCUGGUCUGAGAGGAUGAUCAGCCACACUGGGUCUGAGACACGGCCCAGACUCCUACGGGAGGCAGCAGUGGGGAAUAUUGGACAAUGGGCGAAAGCCUGAUCCAGCAAUGCCGCGUGAGUGAUGAAGGCCUUAGGGUUGUAAAGCUCUUUUACCCGGGAAGAUAAUGACUGUACCGGGAGAAUAAGCCCCGGCUAACUCCGUGCCAGCCGCCGCCGUAA
rnacentral:rRNA from 1 species